AUGAUGAAGGCAGAGGAAUGUGCUAAAAUAUUAAUCUAUUUUUCCCUUUUUUUUCCCUUCAACUUGACAUUUACACAAAACAUAUGCACAAAACAUACAGGGAUCCAUGCCCAUCUUGGAGCAGAAGAAUUAUUGCACAGUGAUGAAUUUGCUUUGUCUACACCAUAUUUCAGGAACAGCACAGCAAAAUUGGAUCUUCCACAAGGUUAGGUCAAGAUUUUCAAGAGAAUGACCACUCUGCUGUCUUUGAAGCCAAUGGAGAUUUAUCACCAACUGAUCCCUUUGGAAAUUAUCACCUUAAUGGAGAUUAAUAACAGCAACCAAAUGAUGAUUAAAUCAUCUUACUGAGGAAUUGCCUAUACAUUCAGGAGACAUUUUGGAAGAACAAAAGCUCCCUCUGCAUCCUGUCUCAUGUUCUUGGACUGUUGUCAGAAAGAGUCCUUGUGUUUAUUCUUCUGUCUAACAAACUGAAGAAAGAAAUCAAAGUUGAGAAGGAAGGAGGCUACAAGCCAAAUAACUCCAGAGCCUUAACCACUAGUCCGUGAUCUGGCAGGACAGACACAUUCUUCUGCACCUCUGCUCACCUUUGCUCUUGCACAUACUCUGUUUGCAUCAAUGGUACUGCUUGUACAAGCAACACACGUGGGAUUAUACCCACUUCAGUAUCUGUCCAGGAAAGCAGAAGCAACUCAGGAAUUGUAAGAGUUUCUGCUUUGGGUCAUUUGUAAGCAGCCUCUUGAGAGGAAGCAACACUGUUGAAACACUACAGGUUUCCAAACCUCCACCAAAACAACCAGCUUGAGAAAAAAAAAAUGCUUUCAGGUGGUAAAUCCUGUGUUGACCCUGCAGAGAAAUAACUCCUUUCUUUUUCAUUUAUACUCAUGUGCCUGUCAAGCAAUACUCAUGACCAGGUAUAAAUCCUUCUGAAAGGGCAGACACUCCAUAUAGGUAGAUUGCCAGUCCCAGUACCUGUUUAUGCACCCUGGAUGCAGAUGCAGCUUAUUUGCAUUCUUUUGGAAUCAGCAGUCUGUUUAAAUAUUAAAAAAAACACAAGCAUUUUACAGAGAUAUCACUCUCCCUAACUGCUGACAAUACCACUGUCAAACAGAUUUCUUUGGCUUUGGAGAAAACUGUAAAUAUGAUACUUAUUAGACUUACCUAGCAGAAAAAUCUACAGUGAUGCUAACAUUAUUUCUUUCUUGUGCUUUUAAAUUUUAUUUUAAGCUGAACAAAUA
rnacentral:lncRNA from 1 species